rnacentral:rRNA from 1 species
GUGGGGAAUAUUGGGCAAUGGGCGAAAGCCUGACCCAGCAACGCCGCGUGAAGGAAGAAGGUCUUCGGAUCGUAAACUUCUAUCCUUGGUGAAGAUAAUGACGGUAGCCGAGAAGGAAGCCCCGGCUAACUACGUGCCAGCAGCCGCGGUAAUACAGAGGUCUCAAGCGUUGUUCGGAAUUAUUGGGCGUAAAGGGCGCGUAGGCGGGAAGGUGUGUCGACCUGUAAAUCUAUCGUUUCAAGCGGUAGGCUUGGGUUGAAACUGCCUUUCUAGAGGAUUUCAGGGGAGUUUGGAAUUUACGGUGUAGCAGUGAAAUGCGUGGAUAUCGUAAGGAAGGCUUGUGGCGAAGGCGAAACUCUGGGGAAUACCUGACGCUGAGGCGCGAAGGCUAGGUUAGCAAACGGGAUUAGAUACCCUGGUAGUCC